rnacentral:rRNA from 1 species
GGACCGCAUGAUCUGUGUAUACAAAGUCUUUAUGUGCUAGAAAGAUCGGCCUCGCGUCUGAUUAGCUAGUUGGUGGGGUAACGGCCCACCAAGGCGACGAUCAGUAGCCGGUCUGAGAGGAUGAACGGCCACAUUGGGACUGAGAUACCGGCCCAGACUCCUACGGGAGGCAGCAGGUGGGGAAUAUUGGGCAAUGGGCGAAAGCCUGACCCAGCAACGCCGCGUGAAGGAAGAAGGCCUUCGGGUUGUAAACUUUAGUACCUAGGGACGAACAAAUGACGGUACCUAGGGUUAAGCCACGGCUAACUACGUG